AGAGUGCCAGCGACCACUCCAUAACCAAUGUUACAGAUUAGCGGAGGUUAAAACCACAAAGGACCAAGUCCGCGCCACUGUUCUAUAGAAAAAUUUCAGUAGGGUACAAUUUAUCGUUCAAAAAUUCUCCGAUAACAAGUGACACAGUAGAUCAUCAAGUUAGCGGUAAUUAAGAAAACUGCGAGGUUACAUAAUUUAUAAGGAUUAUAGUUACAGUUCACCUAUACAUGACUAAGUACCCAAUGCUAUGUCUCAAUUCUUUAAGGGACUAAAAAUGAAAUUACCGUAGCCGUGUGGAGGCAAGGUACCUAUAAGAUUCUAUAUUUUCCCUUGGCAACAAGGUUUUUUGCUUGGAUCCAUUGACACUGUGUCCUUUGGACCCCUGAAAGACCCGAGCACAAGUCCUCAGGCCCAAAGUUGACGGCAAGGUAGAGAUAUAUGAUGCAGAGCAAAGCCAAGAGGAUGCAGGCUGUUAGGAGGAAGCGGUGACGAUUGACAAUUGUUGAGCAGUUGCCAACCUCAUCCUGUUGUACAGGUUUCCGAGAAGGUAUCUUUUUUUGGGAAACCAUGUCUGGUGCACCGAGGCUCCGCGCCAAUCCCAGAUACUCUGCACCACCUGCACAAGUACAUGGAAUUGAUUGACUUAUAUGCAAACAUUACAUAGUGAAGAAAGCAGGGGACUGAAAACUAAGCAACCAGAAGGGAUCCAGAUCUCAAUAAAAUAGCUCAGAAAAUGUAGCUUUUAACCAGCAAUCACGAGUAAAGAAAUUUCCAGCCUAAACAGAAUCGAAGUCCACAAAAGGACUUGAGAUUGAUAUCUAUAUUCAUUAGAAAAACUCCGCGCAUAGAUAGCACAGCAAUAUCACCUACGGAAUAUCUAAAACCAUUCAUGUGCAGUCAGGCAAGGAAAGUGCCAGGUAUGUCAUAUUCAUUGGAACUACGCGUUUCAGAGAUAAAAAUUAGUACUUAAGAUUGGUGAUUUCAAUGUCUUGAAACAUUGGCAAUGCAAAGACAGACUACUGGCAAGCUUGCCCAGUUACCUACAUAUAUUAAGGCGGAUGAAAGCUUCGACAAAUGCCUACAUUUUAAUAACUUGUGAGUUGUGACCCUGUGUGAGCAAUUUUAUUUUGACACUUGAGAUCAUUUUCAGCAACAAAAAUAACGGCUAUUCAGUCCCAACUCCUCGCAAGAUACUAAAAAAAAUCAUGAUUUAGUCCUUGUGGAACGACAUUUUCCGCAUGAUCAGUACUCUGGAAGAAUGAAAUCGUAAAGCAACUACACUGUUGAGGGGAAUUGAAUACUGGCGAAUGAAGAUCAAGUAACUACAGAAAUACAAGACAUCAAACUGCAGUUAUCACUUAUUAAUUUUUUUUUUAAAUUUUCGAAAUAUAUGACAUCACCAGUAACCUAAAUUCUCGCUCAUUUAUACAUUGUGGCUAAUUUUCUUGGCCAAUCCAUCAAACUAUUGUUUUGUUCUCAUCUAUCCUGAUGACAUUCAUUGAUUCAUAUAUGCUAGAAUGUGAUUCAAUGCUUUGAUUAUUCGAUAAUUUUCAGUUAAUUGCUAAAUACGUGAAUUUUUGUCCGAUGACAACUAAGAUGGAACGGAGAAAAAGGAAGCUCAAAAUAAAUUCUCACAACAUCAUAAACUAAGCACAAAAAUAUACGAGCCAGAUAAAAUUGAUGAAGACAUAAAAAAGGAGACUUACAUGCAAAGAGAAAAGGGACCGGGCGUUUCAGCGACGAUAGGUGGGAAGAAGAAAAUACAAUGUAGUAAUUAAAAAAGAGAUAAAGAGAUAAAAAUAGUUAGAUAGAUUAUAAUUUUUGGAGGCUGAGAAUUCAGAUUACUCAAGUUAGGGGCGUUAGGCUAUCGUGAUUCCUUAUGUCUCGGCUUAAACAAAGGAGAGGACAGGCUAUAACAUGCCAUGCCAGGGUUUUUCACCUAAUUCCUCCCGAGGUGCAUAUUCACCUGAUUAGCGGCUCUCGAAAAAUU
rnacentral:lncRNA from 1 species